rnacentral:rRNA from 1 species
AUUGAACGCUGGCGGAAUGCUUUACACAUGCAAGUCGAACGGUAGAGGGGGCAACCCCUCGAGAGUGGCGAACGGGUGAGUAAUAUAUCGGAACGUGCCCAGUCGUGGGGGAUAACGUAGCGAAAGUUACGCUAAUACCGCAUACGCACCGAGGUGGAAAGCAGGGGAUCGCAAGACCUUGCGCUAUACGAGCGGCCGAUGUCAGAUUAGCUAGUUGGUAGGGUAAAGGCCUACCAAGGCGACGAUCUGUAGCUGGUCUGAGAGGGCGACCGGCCACACUGGGACUGAGACACGGCCCAGACUCCUACGGGAGGCAGCAGUGGGGAAUAUUGGGCAAUGGAGGAAACUCUGACCCAGCGACGCCGCGUGCGGGAUGAAGGCCUUC